GUGCCUAAUACAUGCAAGUCGAACGAACUUCCGUUAAUUGAUUAUGACGUACUUGUACUGAUUGAGAUUUUAACACGAAGUGAGUGGCGAACGGGUGAGUAACACGUGGGUAACCUGCCCAGAAGUAGGGGAUAACACCUGGAAACAGAUGCUAAUACCGUAUAACAGAGAAAACCGCAUGGUUUUCUUUUAAAAGAUGGCUCUGCUAUCACUUCUGGAUGGACCCGCGGCGUAUUAGCUAGUUGGUGAGGUAAAGGCUCACCAAGGCAGUGAUACGUAGCCGACCUGAGAGGGUAAUCGGCCACAUUGGGACUGAGACACGGCCCAGACUCCUACGGGAGGCAGCAGUAGGGAAUCUUCCACAAUGGACGCAAGUCUGAUGGAGCAACGCCGCGUGAGUGAAGAAGGGUUUCGGCUCGUAAAGCUCUGUUGUUAAAGAAGAACGUGGGUAAGAGUAACUGUUUACCCAGUGACGGUAUUUAACCAGAAAGCCACGGCUAACUACGUGCCAGCAGCCGCGGUAAUACGUAGGUGGCAAGCGUUAUCCGGAUUUAUUGGGCGUAAAGCGAGCGCAGGCGGUCUUUUAAGUCUAAUGUGAAAGCCUUCGGCUCAACCGAAGAAGUGCAUUGGAAACUGGGAGACUUGAGUGCAGAAGAGGACAGUGGAACUCCAUGUGUAGCGGUGAAAUGCGUAGAUAUAUGGAAGAACACCAGUGGCGAAGGCGGCUGUCUGGUCUGCAACUGACGCUGAGGCUCGAAAGCAUGGGUAGCGAACAGGAUUAGAUACCCUGGUAGUCCAUGCCGUAAACGAUGAUUACUAAGUGUUGGAGGGUUUCCGCCCUUCAGUGCUGCAGCUAACGCAUUAAGUAAUCCGCCUGGGGAGUACGACGCGACGGGUU
rnacentral:rRNA from 1 species